rnacentral:lncRNA from 1 species
UAGACUGCCUUUCAAGUUUAUUUAGAACCCCACAGCACUUUAGCCUGUGGUGGUAGCAGGGCUUGCCAGAACUCAGAUUUUGACUGCUGGAGUGGGUGAUUCCCCUCUGGUGAGGGCUGGUAUAAAUGCUCCUUGCAUGCAUACAGGCUGAAUUCUGCCCUCUGUUAGUUUCCACUGUGACAGAACAGCACUGAGUUCCAAUGUCAAGUCUUACAAUCACUGCAUUCUCCUUCACCAAGUACACAGAUUCUCUCUCCACACCAUGGGGCCAGGGCCACUGCCAGGAGAUGGGGAAAAGGUGGCAUUGGCAAUUUUAGGCUGCCUUUACUAAUGUCUUCAAUGCCUCUUUCUGUGAUAUGAAGAUAAAACCAGAAGUCAAAUUCUACUGAAGUGACGGAGUGAGAACAAGAGCGACUAAGAUAGAGAAAGAAAGAGAGAGAGACAGAGAGAGAGAGAGAGAGAGAG